UGACAUCAAGUGUCCGACUCCGACCUGUCAAUGAAAUGAAAGAAAAUGUCGUUUUGAAUGUCUGUUUUAUUUAUACGAUCGGUUAUUUUUGAAAACGCAACGAAAUGAAUAAAAAAAAAACAUCAUUAAUAAAAUCUUCUCUAAGAAUCCUAAUAGUCUCCAUAAAAUUGCAAUGCAACGUACGGUUGAAAUCAUUGCUACGAGUAUGAUUUUUUCGAUAAAACAUUGCCAUUUUUCGAGCAACUCUCCAGCAUUAACGAUCACGGAGCAAAGCCGCGAACGGACAGACCCACAGAUGGAUAUGGCGAAACUAUAAGGGUUCCUAAUUGACUACGGAACCCUAAAACCCCAUGUGGAUCCAUUGAAAAUUAAAAAGAUUUGCGUUGCCUCCUUUUUAUUAUAUAUAAAAUUAAGUUGGCCACGUCAAAUAAAGCCGAAUAUGGGCAAUCAGGGGAAAAAAAUUCGAGUAGUUUUGUCAAUUGGUACAAUUAUACCUUGUGGUGUUCAGAUAAACAUACUAAGAGUUAUCGAGGGUGAAGGUGGGAGGAGGGAUGUUAAGGUACCUUUUUCAAAUGUUUGCUCAUAUCUGUACGAAUAUAAUUUUGACUUGGUUUAUACUGGUUGUUGUUCGGGCUGCCGCAACACUGUAGCGACUCGGGUGUAUUCACGGAGGAACGGAUCGAUGGCUUUCACGCGAUCAUCAAGAAGCGGUGUAGCUCGCUGUUGAGGCGGUGGUGCGCCAGCUCAAAUACCAUUCUGUGGACGUUGACCGAACGGUUGGACUCAACGUGGUCGAAGCACAAGGUGCAAUUAUAGGUUUUAAUAUUACGUUUGUACUAAAGCUAGAUUAGUAUGUUACUAACACAUUAUGGACUUUUGUUCGAAAUAAAUGAUUUUUGAUUUGAUUACUUGUGAUACAACUUUCUACAUAAGAUUUACUAACAGUGGCUUAGGCCAAUUCCUGACAUUAUUUGUCCAAUGCACCCAAGAAGCGACAUUAACAUGUGAAGUCAGCCAAGUCUCACAACAACACUUUUGAGCUUAGGAUCGUCUUCACUAGAUGAUUUCACGUGAAGCCUUUCCACUCAGGGAUGUUUGAGAUCUCGAGCCACUUGCCACAUAUCCAUGACAAAUCAGACAGUACCGGGAUAUUUAGGUGCAGGGGAUGUUCAUGUCUUCUCUUAGCGAGUUUGAUAAAUGUUAGUUGUUGCAGAACUCCCUAUGAUCCAGUUUCUUUAGAGAUGGGAGCUUUUGUUAAUUUUUGUAUCUCCUUUCCAGCGGGUACUGAAUUUGCAGGUGUAAUACAUGAAAGGCCUCCCAUGCUGUUGAACGUGUUGAGACUGUCUAGAAUUGCUACAUUCAAAUCGGCAUUGCCAAACACAGACUGCAUAAAAGUAUCUGGUGAUAUAGCAUCAUGAGGGUGAACGUAAAUUACAGACAACUCGAGCAUUGUAGCAUGAUAGUAAAAAACACUAAAACCCAAAUUAGCCAGAAGAUCCAACAAGCUCCUUGAUUUAUAUUCUGUGGAUAACAAAGCAUCGUCCUGAAGAACAGAAGAAAUAAAACUUUAUGGGCGGAUUAUACUGAUGAUAGAAUGCCCCAAAGAAAUAUUUUUUUUUUUCAUCUUUUUUUUUGGUAAGAAGCAACUCUAGAAAUACAUUAAAAGAUUCAGGAAUCACGUGCUCUGCAUCGUCAAGAAAUGUGCCACUGGGAGGGCAAUGACUUAUCUCGUAGACACAUGACUGCGCAUCUUAAUUAUCAUCGCUACAGCUGUAACGAUUUGUAAGCGUUCUUCAUUCUCAUCAUUCAGUUUUGAGGUGUACCAUGGCUCAUUCAGGAUCUUGUCCUCAGUAUCACGGAAGCAUAUGACAGAUUUAUGUGAUUUCACUUUACUUAUCAAUAUUCUAUCACCGUAUAUUUCCUUUAGUUUAGACAUGAUAGUCUUCACUGAUGGUUUUGUUCCCGUUACUUGCUCCAAUAAUUUGUUUAAAGAUAUCAGAGGCUAGGGCGGUGGACGUAUCACGUAAACAUACAUUUUAAAAAUAAUCUCUUGUUUAAUAUACAAUAGUAAUUUUGACACUUGAUUCGGGCUCGGACGCCAAAUCGGCACGAAACGGCAGAACGACCCAUCUAACGUGUGCCGGAUAUGACGUACCUACUAUGUGAGGUAUACUUUUUAUUAUAUCGUAAAAAUAUUUUACUAGUUCUAGUAAGUAUUUCUAGCUUAUUGGAUUAAUAAAAGUUUUUAAGAACCUGA